CAACUCUGGUUUCUCUUCAUUACGCACAAGCCUUUCGCCUUUUACUAAAAACUUCCGUGGAGAGGAACACUUAC
rnacentral:snRNA from 8 species